rnacentral:rRNA from 1 species
CUAAGAAUAUUCCGCAAUGGACGAAAGUCUGACGGAGCGACGCCGCGUGGAUGAAGAAGGCCGAAAGGUUGUAAAAUCCUUUUGCUGAGGAAGAAUAAGUGUGGGAGGGAAUGCCCGCAUGAUGACAUGAAUCGGCGAAUAAGCCCCGGCCAACUACGUGCCAGCAGCCGCGGUAACACGUAGGGGCGAGCGUUGUUCGGAAUUACUGGGCGUAAAGGGCAUGUAGGCGGUUAUGUAAGCCUGGCGUGGAAGUCCACAGCUUAACUGUGGGAUUGCGUUGGGAACUAGAUGACUAGAGUUACGGAGAGGGAGCUAGAAUUCCUGGUGUAGGGGUGGAAUCUGUAGAGAUCAGGAAGAAUACCGAUGGCGAAGGCAAGCUCCUGGCCGAUGACUGACGCUG